GGACGCCUGUUGACAUUGAAUUUCAGAUAAACGUAUUAAAAAAUAGUGUUAAGUAUAUCCCAUGCAACGUUUGGGAGAUACUUAUGCUGAAAAACAUGUUGUUGUUGUUAGGUGUGUCGAGUCAGUACCUACUCAU
rnacentral:miRNA from 1 species